ensembl:snRNA U1 U1 spliceosomal RNA
AUACUUACCAGGCCGAGGCUCUGCCAUUGCACUUGGGUGGUGCUGACCCUUGCGAAUUCCCCAAAUGCGGGAAUCUCGACUGCAUAAUUUCUGGUAGUGUGUGUGUGGUGUUUCACUUCACGGA